rnacentral:lncRNA from 1 species
GGCGCCGAGCCCAGCGCGGCACUGCUCCCUCCCGCCCUUCUGCGCACGCGUGCCCGAGCCAGCGAGCCCUGAGAGAACGGACCCAGGUGUGAUUCCCCUCAUUACGGCGGCACCGUGGAAGUGCAGACUUUCACAGGGGGUGUGGUCUCAGCUCACACAGGGUUUGAUGCUGUGGAUGGAGGAAGAUAGGGUCACCUUCGUUUGACCAGGAAGAGUAACAGGUUCUCUAUGGCCGGACAUGGUGAUAUAUAUCUGUAAUCCCAGCACUCGGGAGGCUGAGGUGGGAAGAUUACUGCAAGUUCGAGUCCAGCCUGGGUUACAUAGCAAGACUGUCUUUAAAAAAAACCAAACAAAAAAUCAAGUUUUCUAUGGUUUUGGUGUGAUACAACUUGGCUCUAAGUUCUGCUACUUCCUUUUUGU